UUUAUUGCAAGACGGAUACAUAUGGCGUUCCACGAACAUCAAAACAUCGAAACACGACAGGCUGCAUGAGGUUCAGUGAAACGGGCUUCAAUGUUGAUGUUUAAAGGAUGUUGUCCAGCAGAAGGUGGAUACAAGCAGACAACACUAAAUCCAUUAUCUGAAGGUAACAAGUGUCGAUCACUGGUAACAUCUGGUCCUGGUCUAUCCGCAAUGUACAAGGCACAAAGACCGAUGAGGUGGUAUGCUGGAGACACGCAUCGAAAUGCAACCCGCUAUUGUUCUGUCAAAACGGAAUCGCAGUUCGUCUCCCUUUGACUGCUGUUACGAUUAUAUACUACAGUUUGAGUACAAACAGAUAAAGUUGGUAUGCUGAAGACACAACGGCGGGAUUUGACAAUUCUAGGAUCUCUGGAACCUGCGUCACAGUUGUCUCGUUUUUGCGGAUAUUUAUAGUAUGAUCUGCAAUUUGAAGUCAAGCAGAUAGACCUAUAUGAGCAGAUGUCCAGCACUAAAUCUCUGAUCAGGAGGUAACCAUGAGGCACUUCCUGGCAGGAUAUGGUCCAUUGCUGUCUGGCAAUUACUAAAACAACAGCUUAUAUUGUCAUUUGAUGUAGACAAUUAUAAUAUUAUGUAUAAACUUACUCGAAACUGACAAACGCAUUUAUAUAUGUCUGCUGUUAAUACAGAAGACUAAGCUUUGAUAUAAUGGCAAUGUAUGUGUUUGUGAAUAUCUUAUUUUGAAUUGCCAAAGGCAGGGCUUCAAUGUGGAUGAACAUCUUGAAAUAACAUUUUGAUGAAAUAAAUGUUCUUAUAAAUAAUACAAUUUGAUAAAAUGGUGAAAUUAGGCUAAAUUGCUGGGAAACAAAAGUUGG